rnacentral:lncRNA from 1 species
GCGGUCCUGGGCCGUGAGGCCCCGGGGGCCUGGCGGGAAGAUGACGGGCGGGAGACGCUCUGCGCCGGCGCAGUGCCGUUCGGGCCGGCCCUGGCCCGUGACGACCCGGACCCCGGCGGAGGGAGACGGGCAGGGGGCGCGCAGGGACUCUGUGGGGGCUGGGCCUGGGCCCCUCGGGGAGAUGGCCCUGGGGCUGUGAGGCCCCGGGGUCUGGCGGAGGGAGGCGGGCCGGGCGCCUCCGGUCUUGGCCCGUGAGGGCUGCCCGGUCCGGUCCUGUCUUGUCCUGUCUCUCCUGUCCUGUGAGGACUGCCCUGUCUGUCCUGUCCUGCCCUGCCCUGCCCUGCCCUGUGAGGACUGUCCGGUCCUGUCCUGACAGGGCUGCCCUGGCUGUCCUGUCCUGUCCUGUGAGGGCGGUCCGGUCCGGGCUUGUCUUGCCCUUCGAGGAAGGGAGAAGGAAGAGGGAACGAAAGAGGCCCCAGAGAAAAAAGUACAUUUAACAGGAUCCAUCAGAGGACUCACAAACCUCCCAUGACCAGCUGAAGGACUCAAGAGGUGUGGCCGACAAUUCUUAGUCCCACAGUUUUGUGCCAGCGGAGCUCCAGCGGAGUCUGAGCUCCAGUGAAGGGAGUAAGUAAACUGCGUCUUCCUGUGCGGCCUCUGUGUUUCCGCCACUGAUGUCAGAUAAAUAGUUAUUAGACUUAUUUGAGUUGAACAUGUUGUUGCUACAGAUUAAUCCUGAAUGUGUGUCAUGUUCUCAGAGUGGGUGUCUAAUUUGGAUAGGGAGCCCACUGGGCUUGGAUUGGGUCUAAUUAAUGGACUGUACAGUUAUUGCUUCUCAAGCAGAGGAUUAACUAGGACAAAGCUGGUUUUAAAUACAUUUUCAAAGGCAAGUAUAAAAACUGCCAUUUUUUAGGACGAUGUCUUUCUCCAUUAAACUAAUGAUCGGGUGAAUCAUUGGAUUUGCGAUUUUUUUUUCCUGUUGCGAUUCUAUUGCCUUUAAUGUGGAAUUAAAAUGGAUUAGAAUGUGUGGGAUAGAUGAAUAAUGACCAAAACAUGCUAGUAAUUAGAGUGGGCAAAACUAUGUCUUGUAUACUGUAGUCGAAAGGUUAAGGUAUGGACAACAUUUCAUUAAGAACAAUAUAGUUCAUUAUGACUGGCCACUGAAUGUUACGAAGAAUGAAUGUUUCAUUUAUAUUGCACAGAAGGAACACUUGUAGUGUAGGAAGGGGUGAGAUAAUCAUUUAAUAACGAGAAAAGUAGUAAACACAGUUCCCUGAAAACUAUCAUUCAGCCUCAGCCCUGUUUGUGUAGUUCUUAUCUGCUUUUGCAAAGUUCACUGCGGCCUUUCUCUGCUCAAUACAAACCUCAAACAGUUCCAUCUGGAAAAAUUGCUUUCUUCCAGAAGCAUGAUUUUCUUAUUUUAUAUUGGUAAUCCGUUUGUAUUUCUGAGGGAAAAAAAUGGAAGUGAAAGAAAUGGGGACAUGGAAGUGGGGAGGCUCGUGUUCAGUUGCAGAGUCGUCUGUGCUCGUCAGUGAAGGGAUGUUGCCCUACUCUGUGUGACAGACCAGUUACUAAUUAAUUAUUCACCUUAAAUUGUUUAAUUGUUGGCCUUCUGCUCAUGCUCUCCCCUUCUCUCCCAUCCGCUAUUCAAUCUGUGCACCUUUCUCUUGUUCGAAAGUAAUAAUUUUGGUCACUAUGAGACCCACGUGAGAGGGGCUGCAAAAUCGAUCAAUCAGUGGUGCUUUUUGAGUGCUGACUGUGUGCAGAGCGUUAUAAUAAGUGCUUGGGAGAGUACGAUAAAGUGAGUAGGCUCCAUUCCUUCCCUCAAGGAGCUUACAAUCUAGUGUAGGCUAAUUGACCGAAAGUCCCCACAGGUUUGGGAAGAUCUGCUUAAUUUAAACUUUUCCGCUCAUUGAAGGUGCUGGAAUGGCUCUCUCAAAUCGUGAGUUGAACUGACUUUGCCUGUUAUUUCUCUAGUGUUUGAAAUUGGACUUUUAAUAUUUUCUUGGUAAGAAACAAUUUAGUUGGCUCUCAGGAGUGCAGUUGGUUUCUACUGUAAAAUUUACUGUUUAUCUGCCAGUGGGUUAGGUUUUUGUGUUGUUGUUUUUUAGCACAAGGAGCAUUGCAAUUUGAAAUCCCAAACCUAAACUUUAGUUAUUAGUUUCAUUGUAACCCUCAGUCAAACCUUUCCUUAGCACUGUUAACAAGAUAUUUGCAACUCCCACUGAGGGUGUCAUAGGGUGGCACCCCAGGCCAUUGGGUUUGGCAAUCCAAAAUAAAUAACUGUGGUAUUUGUUAGGCAUUUACUAUAUGCCAACCACUGUACUAAGCAGUGGAGUAGAUACAAUAUAAGCAGGUCAAAUGCAGUCUCUGUCUCUCAGGGGGCUCAAAGUCUAAGGGGAAGGGAGACCAAGUAUCGAAUCUCCAUUUUACAGAUGAGGAACCCGAGGCACAGAGAUGUGAAGUGACUUGCUCAAGAUCAUGCAGCACACCAGUGGUGGAGCUGGGAUUAGAAGCCAGGUCCUCUGACUCCCAGAGCUCCUUAUUUGGACUUUAAAAUUUUGGACUUUUGUUUUUUCUCUGUGAGUAUUUUCUCUUUGAAUGUGUCUCUCAUUUAUCCUCCUUUAUUGUAGAUAGUGAGCUCCUUGAAGUCAGGUGGGCAUGGUGACUGAUUUUUUUCACUAUAUUUCCUCUGAUGACUCACAUUGGGCUUGAUAUAUUUUAGUGUACACUAUCAUUAUCACCACCACAAUUAGUAACAGUUGAGUGGCCGAAAUGGCUGAAGGGAGGAAAAUUAAUGAUCCUGAAAAAUCAAGUCCUAGACUUUCAUCUCCCUCUUUGGUAUUUAUUAGGUGCCUAAUAUGCUAGGGGCAUACUCGGGGGAAUUAGAAGGAAAAUACAUGGGCACUGCCCUCAGAUCUCCAUUCUAAAUGGAUUGAUUGUGAAUGAGAAGUUUUCUACUUCAUCAGAAUAAUGGACUAAAACCACUUCUUGUUUGGACUUCUCUCAGGGUGUGUCACAGUGGAAAUCUUGGGGCCAACUGACUUCCAGUUUGUAAGUUAGCUGCUUAGGGAGGCACAUCCUCUGGUCCCUGCAGCAGUAAUACACUAACUGAUAUUCCAGGGGAGGUGGGGGAAAGGUACCUCCACUGGGAAAAUCUGGCUUGCCAUUCAUUUCAGGUGGGAUGUAUAGACAGAGAAAAAUCAAAAGCAAGAGUUCAUUUUCAUCCUGCCGCUUGAGUCAUCAUUUCAGUCUCUCAUGGAGUUUCCAAUCAAUCUGACUCACACAUAAAAAAGCUAUCCAGGAAACCCACUGAAAGGAUAGCUCCCCAGCUUCUCCACUGCUUCAAUCACUCUGUGGCGAUAAUUCACCUGCAGGCCCCUAGAUAACCAUUUCACACCCUGCACCGAUAAGGCAUUAAACCAUGGAACUACAACAGAGAAUGUUGUCGUGCCCAAUUCCAGGCGAAUGGGGCAGAAUGGGCUCCAGUGGGAAGCUGUAGUCACGCUGCACCUCCCGCCACUUCCCCUUUGGAUCUGGAUCACCGAGUUGGCAGCUCUGAAGAAUUCUGCUACCGUGGCAGACUUAAACCCGGGGGGGGGGGCCUUGCUUCCUGCAUAGGAAGGAGGCAGUGAGUGGAAAAUGUCCAGACCACCAGGGAGGGUCUUAGAAGCAGCUGUCCUAGAUUGGAAAUGGCACUGCCACCCAGGAAAUGGGCACUGGGGCUCCUGGGGUUCUUGGAGACUGAUGUGUUAGAAUGACAUCAUAUCUCAUCUUUUGCCUGGUGUCCUGAGGUCGAUCACCCCCUGCCUUAUAUGGUUCUCUAAUGUCAGAAGAAUGAGGCAGACAGCAGUCCAUCAGUGGUAUUUAUUGAGUGCUUACUGUGUGCAGAGCACUUUACUAAGCACUUGAGAGAGUACUGUCAUAUUAAUAGACACUAUCCCUGACCUCAAAGAUCUUAUAUUCGUGUUUGUGUGUGUGUGUGUUUAUGUGGGAGAGAGGUGGUGGAGGUGAGAGUAAACAUGAAAAUUAAUUAUAGGUAGGUGAAGCAACCAGUAUGAAGAUAUAUCUGUACGUGCUGGUUGAGUAUGGAUGUGUGUGUUUGGUUCCGGGACCGGGGAGGUUGAUUAGCUAAGUGCUUAGGGGAUGAGGGUUCAAAUGCACGGGUGACACAGUAAGGAAGGUAAGAGUGGGGAGAUGAAAGGUUAGUUAGGGAAGGCUUCCUGGAAGAGCGUUUCCAACACUGUGGGAAGAGAGGCAGCAAGAAGUGGCCACUGGCCCCACCGAGGGACCAGAUUUCUCCUGCCAAGCGCCUUUCCCUUAGAGAUGCUCUGCUCAGUGAGAGGGGGAGUCGGAGCCUGCUGAUUCUCACCUCUCUGGUCAGUACAGCAGCCAAGGAGAGUACAGAAUAGAGCUGUAUCCCAGUUAGCGCUCUCAUUUUUCUCUGAAAAUAGUGUCGAAAUAAGUAAGAGCGCUAAACAGAGUGUAAAUCUUCUAAAGUGUACUAUGUACCGGGCACGUAGUCAACGCUAAGCAAAUACCAUUAAAUGUUCCUGAGGUCCAGAAUAUUGACUAAAUCAGUGUAAAAAAAAUUAAUAGCGAUAACACAAAAUGAUUACAUGACCAAAUAGCAAUGUAUAUUUGCAUUUGAUUUUUUUUUUAACUAUACCCAUAUGUAAAUACUUUUUUUAAAGUGUUAUCAUCCACAUCCUAGUCAGUCUGAAUAUACUAGAAAUCUGGCAUUAGCUUUGCUAAAUAGCCCUGUCAUUAUGUAAUGGUAAAUUGAAAUGGGCUUUAAUCAUCCUAUAUAAGUCCGUCAAAAUACCUCAAAGGGGAAGAGAAAGGAGAAAGGGGGUGUUUAGGCCAUGGUGGACUUGGCAGCAUUAUCUCAAAGAGCCAGGGUACUGUGAGAAAUAGUAGCAUAAAAAUCCAGAAAUGUCAUCAGCGAAGAGCAAUAAAAGCCUUGGGUUAUCAUGGGGAAGUCCCCGUAAGAGAAGCAAAGAGUUCUUUUCUCCAGAUGCCUAGUAACGUUCCAGCUGAUUGAGUGCCU